AGUGAAUGGGUUAGGUUAUCAUCUGCGUUGAUUUGAAAAUGGAGCUCUCACACCAUUUUCUUGGUUUCAUAGGAUUAUCCUUCUGUUGGUCAGUUGAUACAAAAACUUAAAGAAAAUAAUAUCCAGCCCAUUUUUGCUGUUACCCAAAACGUCUACGAUACAUACGAAAAACUGAGCAAGAUGAUCCCCAAGUCUGCUGUAGGAAAACUGGAGGGGAAUUCAAGUAAUAUAGUUCAACUCAUCCAGCGUGCUUAUGAUGAUUUAUCUUCCAAAAUUAUUUUAGAACAUAGCUCUGUGCCAAGCUCUAUCAAAAUCUCCUAUGAUUCCUUCUGCCUUAAUCAAGUACAUACAAAGAAUCAACCAAGAGGGGAAUGCGACAAUGUAAAAAUAAAG